rnacentral:rRNA from 1 species
UACGAAGGGGGCUAGCGUUGCUCGGAAUCACUGGGCGUAAAGCGCACGUAGGCGGCUUUUUAAGUCAGAGGUGAAAUCCUGGAGCUCAACUCCAGAACUGCCUUUGAUACUGGAGAGCUUGAGUCCGGGAGAGGUGAGUGGAACUGCGAGUGUAGAGGUGAAAUUCGUAGAUAUUCGCAAGAACACCAGUGGCGAAGGCGGCUCACUGGUCCGGUACUGACGCUGAGGUGCGAAAGCGUGGGGAGCAAACAGG